GUCUAUGGCCAUACAACCUCAAACAUGCCUGAUCCCAUCUGAUCUCAGAAGCUAAGCAGGGUUGGGCUUGGUUAGUAUCAGGUUGAAAAAAAUAUAUACAAUAAUUGGUGGUUUUCC
ensembl:rRNA 5S_rRNA 5S ribosomal RNA